CCUGAUGGAAACAGAAGGAAGAUUCCACUAGAGGGAGCCAUUGUAACUAAAUCUGCCGUCUCCACCCAUCAUGUUGAAGCCAUCUAGGACAUCAGCAGAGAAUCAUCCGUGGUGAGAGUCUUGUUUGAAAAUCCACAGGAGCCUGAGUGGAUCACAAUUACGGGCCUCACAAAGUCUUUCAAGCCUCACUCAGCUGGAGCCAAUCAGCUCUCAAAGACCCUGAUGAGCUUCUCUCUUUUGUGUCUCCAUGCUUCUGUCUCUGCUGUUUUUGGGUGAAGUUGUGUGAUGUGUGAUGUGAGAGGAGCAGUCAGCGUUGGGGUGGAUCCUGCUGCGGCUGCAGCGUCUUUGAUAGCAGAGGAUGUGAAGGCUGACAUUUGCACAGACGGAAGGAGAGAGACGGAGAGGGAGGAGGAGAGAAGAGCAGAGCAGGAGGGUUUCGUUUUACACGUUUGUUUGUAAGACACAAGACGAUGUGCUUAAAAAUGACACAGUGGGUCAAAGGAGAAGCAGGAAACACAGUCACUGUUUGAGUCUCACUUAACAAUAUAGAAUUACAUUAACUGCAGUUUUUAUUUGACUUCAAACUGCACUCAUCAAUAUUGAUUAUUAUUAUCAAUUAUUACUCCACUGUUCACUUCACAUCAUUUCUAAUCGGUUUCAGCAUCUUUUAGCUCAUUAACUUAACUGAACUGAGCUUAACUUACAUAAAGUAAUCUUAAGUGAACUGAACUCAAUCACUGGAACGAAAAUGAACUGAACUUAUCUACUCAAUAGAACUAAGCUUAACUUGACUGAGGUUGACUGAGCCUAACUUAACUAAUGUGAACUUAACCUAACUAAACUUCAUUUAACUUAGCUGACUGACCUAAACGUGACUAAAAUGAACUUAAUUUAACUUGAUCUAACUUAAUUGACUGACCUAAACUUGACCUAACUUAACUGACUGAUCUAAACUUAACUAAAGUGAACUUAACUGACUGAAUUGAAUUGAACUGAACUAAACAUAACUUACCUUAAUAUAAAUUAACUGACCUGAACUGAGGUGAACUUAAUUGAAGUGGCUUAACUUAACCUUAACUGAAGCUUAA